rnacentral:lncRNA from 1 species
ACAGCCAAAGUAAAAGCUCCUUUUCACAACCCCCCCUCUCCCUCACCCUUUCCCCCAAGGCUUCAGUUCAUCGUGCCAUCGCUUUAAUAGCAGCCUUGUCAGAAACAGCUAUUGUAGCUCUGCAGAGAUCUUAUUUAAGAGCUGUAAUGUCCUUUAGUGAAAGUACAGCCAAUAAAUAACUUGGAUCUGAUCCAUAGACUCAGCCCUAUAAUCUGGGCGAACACCCAAUGACUCCUUUCGGGUCAAGGGCAUCCGCUACAUUUGUGAAGGCCACAACUCUCUAUUUCCCUGUUCUCACUCUUUGAACAUCAUCCACUUCCCAGCAUGCAAAUGGCAAUGGCCUAUGCCACUGGGUUAGAAACAGGGAGGAACAACAGCUUUGCUGAAGCAGAUGUCAUACCAGCUGUCUUGUCCUCCUCCGCCAGCGAUCAGCCACCUUUCUGCUUGGGUUCUUUUCAGGAUCGUCACCGAGCCCCGGACAGCCUCCAACUGCAGUUCGUUUGCAGUAAUGUUCCCAGGAGGGAGGCUGGACAGCUGGUUCGUGAAGGACUUGGGCAAAAAUCUUACCGCAGCUGACCCCAAGAGAAGAAAGUAUGUUUAACCACUGAGAAGAAACAUUUUUGGAAAAGUGCCUCUCAAUUGUUUUUACAAUGUCGAACAAGGUAGAUGGAUGUAACACUACAAGAAAGAAGGUUGCACAUUUCAGCAGAACGAAUAAAGCAAACUUUUCCCACUCC